CAGGUUCUCUGGCCUAUAGAUGAUGAUUGGUACAAGGGUUCCAUCACGGAGUACAAUUCAGACACCAAGCAUCAUAGAAAAUGAAGGAUUUAUGUUGGAAAUGUGGUGUCCCCAACUUAGAGAAGAAAGGCCUCAAUUACAAUGAAUUGCUGGCUUUAUCACUUAACUUUCAUGAUUGUCAAGGUCUUGAACCAGGUGAACUUGUAUGGGCAAAACUUAUAGGUAUGUGUAAAUUUAUGGUGUAGUUAUCUUAUAUGUUUCUUGUUGAUGACAAAUUAGGUAUUUUUAUAUGCAGUAAAUUGAUUGAACUUUGAAAAUAUUUUCUUUAUGAUUAUCUUCAUAAUUAUUUAAAAUGUUAGUAUUGUAGAUGUUGGGAUUAAAUUUGAUGAAAGUUCUCGACACUAUUUGAAGAUUUAAUAUGAUAGUAAUGUAAAUUUAUUAUUUAAUACUUUACUUUGUUGCGUUACAUGCUUUGUAGCUAGUGGCUACAACCAUGAAAAUUGUGUAAAAACUUACUAUAUCCUCAAUUUAUCUUGAGACUGAAUAUUGCAAGAUCCAUCAACAUAGUCUUUUUGUGUUUUCUCUUGCUCUCACCCUAUGACCAUCUGUUCUCAAAUCUAUCUUUGACAUUAUUUAUUAAAUCCACAUUUUGGUGCUAGUAAUAUUUAGUUGAAAUAAUGUACUAAAAAAGGACCAGUUGCCAUGAAGGCACAACAUUGAGUAUUUCAUUCUUGUUUUAUAAUAGGAAUUUCUAACAUGAUUGAAUAUGCUAUUCUUAUAAUGUAGUUUCAUGGAGGAAGCUAGACUAUAAUAAAUAUGUGUGAUUACUUCAUAUUUAUCUUAGUCACCUGUGCUUGAACAUUUUAAAUCUGCCACUGGUAGGUUUUGGAUACGUUUGCUCAAACUGGAGCACAAUACAGAUAUGCUUUUGCGUUAAUGAAUUAUGAGGCCAACUUUUUUCUUGAUCUAAGUAGCUUCUAAUACAUUGCUUCACAUUUGAUUGCUAGAUUGAAAUACCAACAGUUGGGACUACUAUCAUGAAUAUCAUAAUUUUGUAUUUGUCUUUUCCUCUUUGCAUCUGAAGUGCAAGAAGGCAAGAUUUUGUCGAAGCUUGGAUGAAGCAAAAAUGUUGCUAUUGAAGGUUGGAGUAAAUGUCUUUUGUCGCUUGAAGCAAAUGCCUUUUGUCGUUUGGAGCACAUGCCUUUUGUUGUUCGGAGCACAUGUCUUUUGAUGUUUUUUUUGUGGAGAAAAUUUGUUAUUGAAGGUUGUAUAUAUUUUGGAGAUUGAAGAAAAUAUUGUGUUUGUGUUAUAGUGUGGAGUUAAAUGUUAUAUGUUAUGAAUAUUUUGAAAUGAAAUACAAAUUGUAUGUGUUAAUUUGGUAAUCCAAUUUAUAUUUAUGUGUUAUGGAAA